rnacentral:rRNA from 1 species
GACGAACGCUGGCGGCGUGCCUAAUACAUGCAAGUAGAACGCACAGUUUAUACCGUAGCUUGCUACACCAUAGACUGUGAGUUGCGAACGGGUGAGUAACGCGUAGGUAACCUGCCUGGUAGCGGGGGAUAACUAUUGGAAACGAUAGCUAAUACCGCAUAAUAUUGAUUAUUGCAUGAUAAUUAAUUGAAAGGUGCAAUUGCACCACUACCAGAUGGACCUGCGUUGUAUUAGCUAGUAGGUGAGGUAACGGCUCACCUAGGCGACGAUACAUAGCCGACCUGAGAGGGUGAUCGGCCACACUGGGACUGAGACACGGCCCAGACUCCUACGGGGGGCAGCAGUAGGGAAUCUUCGGCAAUGGACGAAAGUCUGACCGAGCAACGCCGCGUGAGUGAAGAAGGUUUUCGGAUCGUAAAGCUCUGUUGUAAGAGAAGAACGGGUGUGAGAGUGGAAAGUUCACACUGUGACGGUAUCUUACCAGAAAGGGACGGCUAACUACGUG